rnacentral:rRNA from 1 species
UACGUCAACAUCCUUAACGAAUAUAAUCCGUUCUAACCUUUUGACUGUCAACUUAAAUAACCGUAAGCACGCUUUCGGCACCUAAGCAACCUUCAAAGAUCAGACGGAUAGCCCAAAAGGUAUUCGUUGCAAUCCUCAGUCCCGAUCACCACACCUACCAGAGGCUAUAACACUUCAAUACAAGAUCGAAGCUACAUUCCGCCGGUCAUUUUAUAGCGAUCGAAACUGACAUUGGCCUACCACACGAAAAAGUACACCCAAAAAGCACGAACGUUGCAAACAGCGAGGUGUUAAAACUCACGUAAGCCCACAAGUCCGCACUAAAGAGCUGAUUUUCCGUCGGUACGACUAACUUCAAUCGUUUCCCUUUCAACAAUUUCACGUACUUUUUAACUCUCUUUCCAAAGUUCUUUUCAUCUUUCCCUCACGGUACUUGUUCGCUAUCGGUCUCUCGCCUGUAUUUAGCUUUAGAUGGAAUUUACCACCCAUUUUGAGCUGCAUUCCCAAACAACUCGACUCUUUGAAAGUGUAUCACAGAGCACCGGGAGUCCGUGUCAUGGACGGGAUUCUCACCCUCUAUGACGCCCUGUUCCAAGGGACUUGUACACGGUCCGGCGCGGAAAACACCUCUCUAGAUUACAACUCGGACGGCCGUAGACCAUCAGAUUUUAAAUUUGAGCUCUUCCCGCUUCACUCGCCGUUACUAGGGGAAUCCUUGUUAGUUUCUUUUCCUCCGCUUAUUGAUAUCG